rnacentral:rRNA from 1 species
GGACCCGCACAAGCGGUGGAGCAUGUGGUUUAAUUCGAUGCAACGCGAAAAAACCUUACCUACACUUGACAUACUUCGAAUUUUCUAGAGAUAGAUUAGUGCCUUAGGGAACGAAGAUACAGGUGCUGCAUGGCUGUCGUCAGCUCGUGUCGUGAGAUGUUGGGUUAAGUCCUAUAACGAGCGCAACCCUCACCCUUAUUUGCCAGCGGUUAGGCCGGGAACUAUAAGGGAACUGCCGGUAAUAAGCCGGAGGAAGGUGGGGACGACGUCAAGUCAUCAUGGCCCUUACGUGUAGGGCUACACACGUGCUACAAUGGGAGAUACAAACGGUUGCCAAAGCGCGAGCU